rnacentral:rRNA from 1 species
AGCGAACGCUGGCGGCAUGCCUAACACAUGCAAGUCGCACGGGGGGGCUUCGGCCUCCCAGUGGCGGACGGGUGAGGAACGCGUAGGGACCUGUCGAGGGGUGGGGGAUAACCGCGGGAAACUGCGGCUAAUACCGCAUGACGCCGCGGCGUGACAGCCGGGGCCAAAGGCGAAAGCCGCCCGCCGAGGGGCCUGCGUCCGAUUAGCUGGGUGGCGGGGUAGCGGCCCACCAAGGCGUCGAUCGGUAGCUGGUCUGAGAGGGUGAUCAGCCACACCGGGACUGAGACACGGCCCGGACUCCUACGGGAGGCAGCAGUGGGUAAUAUUGGACAAUGGGCGCAAGCCUGAUCCAGCAAUGCCGCGUGGGUGAAGAAGGUCUUCGGAUUGUAAAGCCCUCUCGGCGGGGACGAUGGUGACGGUACCCGCAGAAGAAGCCCCGGCUAACUUCGUG